CUUGUACUCGCUCCGUCCAAAAAUACUUGUCAUUGAAAUGGAUGUAUCUAGAUGUAUUUUAGUUCUAGACACAUCCAUUUUGAUGACAAGUAAUUCUGGACGGAGGGAGUACUUG
rnacentral:pre_miRNA from 1 species